GAAAUGCGAUAAGUAAUGUGAAUUGCAGAAUUCAGUGAAUCAUCGAAUCUUUGAACGCACAUUGCGCCCCUUGGUAUUCCAUGGGGCAUGCCUGUUCGAGCGUCAUUUGUACCCUCAAGCUCUGCUUGGUGUUGGGUGUUUGUCCCCGUCUCCGCGCGUGGACUCGCCCCAAAGUGAUUGGCAGCCGGCGUACUGGUCCCGGAGCGCAGCACAUGUCGCGCAAACGAGUGCCUUGGUACGGCGGCGUCCAUAAGCCCCUCUCUCACGCUCUUGACCUCGGAUCAGGUAGGGAUACCCGCUAAACUUAAGC
rnacentral:misc_RNA from 1 species